CUCAACUGUACACAUGUACGCAGAUAACACCGUAAUCUAUGCUAGCAAACCAAAUCUACCGCAGUUUGAGACUGUACUCCAAUAUCCGUUCACAGAGGUAAAAAAGUGGAUCUCAAAAAUAAACUUUUCCUAAACACUGACAAACCUGUCACAAUGAUCUGUGGAACAGUAUCUACAUUACAAAAUUCCUAUGCAUUAGAACAAAAUCAAAACACACUGACC